rnacentral:rRNA from 1 species
GACGAACGCUGGCGGCGUGCUUAACACAUGCAAGUCGAACGGAAAGGCCCUGCGUUUGUGGGGUGCUCGAGUGGCGAACGGGUGAGUAACACGUGAGUAACCUGCCCUUGACUUUGGUAUAACUUCAGGAAACUGGGGCUAAUACCGUAUAGGAGCUCCUGCUGCAUGGUGGGGGUUGGAAAGUUUCGGCGGUUGGGGAUGGACUCGCGGCUUAUCAGCUUGUUGGUUGGGUAGUGGCUUACCAAGGCUUUGACGGGUAGCCGGCCUGAGAGGGUGACCGGCCACAUUGGGACUGAGAGACGGCCCAGACUCCUACGGGAGGCAGCAGUGGGGAAUAUUGCACAAUGGGCGGAAGCCUGAUGCAGAAACGCCGCGUGCGGGAUGACGGCCUUUGGGUUGUAAACCGCUUUAGCCUGUGACGAAGCGUGAGUGACGGUAAUGGGUAAAGAAGCACCGGCUAACUACGUG